CAAUAGCGUAUAUUAAAGUUGUUGCGGUUAAAAAGCUCGUAGUUGGAUUUCUGCCGAGGACGACCGGUCCGCCCUCCGGGUGAGUAUCUGGCUCGGCCUGGGCAUCUUCUUGGAGAACGUAGCUGCACUUGGCUGUGUGGUGCGGUAUUCAGGACUUUUACUUUGAGGAAAUUAGAGUGUUUCAAGCAGGCACACGCCUUGAAUACAUUAGCAUGGAAUAAUAAGAUAGGACCUCGGUUCUAUUUUGUUGGUUUCUAGAUCUGAGGUAAUGAUUAAUAGGGAUAGUUGGGGGCAUUCGUAUUUAACUGUCAGAGGUGAAAUUCUUGGACUUGUUAAAGACGGACUACUGCGAAAGCAUUUGCCAAGGAUGUUUUCAUUGA
rnacentral:rRNA from 1 species